rnacentral:rRNA from 1 species
UACAGAGGGGGCAAGCGUUGUUCGGAAUUACUGGGCGUAAAGGGCGCGUAGGCGGCUUGGCAAGUGGAAGGUGAAAUCCCUCGGCUUAACCGAGGAACUGCCCUCCAAACUGCUUCGCUUGAGACCGGGAGAGGUGAGUGGAAUUCCCAGUGUAGCGGUGAAAUGCGUAGAUAUUGGGAGGAACACCAGUGGCGAAGGCGGCUCACUGGACCGGUACUGACGCUGAUGCGCGGAAGCGUGGGGAGCAAACGGG